GCCGGAGUGGUGGAAUAGGCAGACACACCAUCUUGAGGGGGUGGCGCCUUAACAGGUGUGCCGGUUCAAAUCCGGCCUCCGGCA
rnacentral:tRNA from 1 species